GACGAACGCUGACGGCGUGCUUAACACAUGCAAGUCGAACGGAAAGGCCCUGCUUUUGUGGGGUGCUCGAGUGGCGAACGGGUGAGUAACACGUGAGUAACCUGCCCUUGACUUUGGGAUAACUUCAGGAAACUGGGGCUAAUACCGGAUAGGAGCUCCUGCUGCAUGGUGGGGGUUGGAAAGUUUCGGCGGUUGGGGAUGGACUCGCGGCUUAUCAGCUUGUUGGUGGGGUAGUGGCUUACCAAGGCUUUGACGGGUAGCCGGCCUGAGAGGGUGACCGGCCACAUUGGGACUGAGAUAGGGCCCAGACUCCAACGGGAGGCAGCAGUGGGGAGUAUUGCACAAUGGGCGGAAGCCUGAUGCAGCAACGCCGCGUGCGGGAUGACGGCCUUCGGGUUGUGAACCGCUUUCGCCUGUGACGAAGCGUGAGUGACGGUAAUGGGUAAAGAAGCACCGGCUAACUACGUG
rnacentral:rRNA from 1 species